CCGAAAAUACAAUAAAACAAUUCUUUCAGGCUUUGGUUUACGUGUCGACGGCUUAUUGUAAUUGUCCGAGAUCUACCGUAAAAGAAGAGUUGUACGAUACGCCAAUUUCAGCAGAAAAACUUAUAACAAUUUCCCAGUCUCUCAAUGAAGCUACCCUUAAAAAAAUCACGCCCACGAUCCUAGGAGAAUGGCCGAACACCUACACCUUUA